GCCAUGAAUUUCAGCUAGCUAGCCACCGAUAACUGACAGUCCGCUUGAGUAAAACCAUCCAUGUCAAGACACAAGAAGGAUUUUGUAAGUGUUGUGCCGCUUGUGUGUACAUAUAGAGGCACACCAGCCUGCCUGCCAGUCUGCUGUGAAUCGACCCUGCUGGCUCAGUGACUAGACCAGAGGACCUUGGCACCAUCGUGUGCCAGUUCAUUUCAAGACCCAGGGAUUUCUGAAUCCAGAAGAUGAACGGUCUGUCCAUACGAGAGCUAUGCUGUCUGUUCUGCUGCCCCCCUUGUCCCAGCCGCAUUGCAGCCAAACUGGCUUUCCUCCCUCCAGAGCCCACCUACGCCCUUCUCCCUGACCCAGAUCCAGGUUCUGGAGCUGGAACUGCUUCUGGGUCCAGUUCCGGUGCUGCUCAGCCUUCUCUCGGAGCCCCUGGGCUGCGUUCCCGACUGGG